rnacentral:misc_RNA from 1 species
GGACGUCUGGUCGCGGCCCGGUGGCGGCGGGGGUAUCAGCCGUGUGUUGCAGGACGGCGGGGUUUGGGAGAAGGCCGGGGUCAAUGUCUCAGUGGUGUACGGGUCAAUGCCGCCUGAGGCUUACCGCGCCGCCAAGGGAGCGACUGGGGAUUCAUCGGUUAAGGCUGGACCUGUACCAUUCUUUGCUGCUGGAAUCAGCUCGGUUUUACAUCCAAAGAAUCCGUUUGCGCCGACACUGCAUUUUAACUAUCGAUAUUUUGAGACAGAUGCACCAAAAGAUGCUCCAGGUGCACCUAGGCAAUGGUGGUUU